CAGCAGUGGGGAAUAUUGCACAAUGGGGGAAACCCUGAUGCAGCGACGCCGCGUGGAGGAAGAAGGUCUUCGGAUUGUAAACUCCUGUUGUUGAGGAAGAUAAUGACGGUACUCAACAAGGAAGUGACGGCUAACUACGUGCCAGCAGCCGCGGUAAAACGUAGGUCACAAGCGUUGUCCGGAAUUACUGGGUGUAAAGGGAGCGCAGGCGGGAAGACAAGUUGGAAGUGAAAUCUAUGGGCUCAACCCAUAAACUGCUUUCAAAACUGUUUUUCUUGAGUAGUGCAGAGGUAGGCGGAAUUCCCGGUGUAGCGGUGGAAUGCGUAGAUAUCGGGAGGAACACCAGUGGCGAAGGCGGCCUACUGGGCACCAACUGACGCUGAGGCUCGAAAGUGUGGGUAGCAAACAGGAUUAGAUACCCUGGUAGUCCACACCGUAAACGAUGAUUACUAGGUGUUGGAGGAUUGACCCCUUCAGUGCCGCAGUUAACACAAUAAGUAAUCCACCUGGGGAGUACGACCGCAAGGUUGAAACUCAAAGGAAUUGACGGGGGCCCGCACAAGCAGUGGAGUAUGUGGUUUAAUUCGACGCAACGCGAAGAACCUUACCAAGUCUUGACAUCCCUUGACGAACAUAGAAAUAUGUUUUCUCUUCGGAGCAAGGAGACAGGUGGUGCAUGGUUGUCGUCAGCUCGUGUCGUGAGAUGUUGGGUUAAGUCCCGCAACGAGCGCAACCCUUAUGGUCAGUUACUACGCAAGAGGACUCUGGCCAGACUGCCGUUGACAAAACGGAGGAAGGUGGGGAUGACGUCAAAUCAUCAUGCCCUUUAUGACUUGGGCUACACACGUACUACAAUGGCGUUAAACAAAGAGAAGCAAGACCGCGAGGUGGAGCAAAACUCAGAAACAACGUCCCAGUUCGGACUGCAGGCUGCAACUCGCCUGCACGAAGUCGGAAUUGCUAGUAAUCGUGGAUCAGCAUGCCACGGUGAAUACGUUCCCGGGCCUUGUACACACCGCCCGUCACACCAUGAGAGCCGG
rnacentral:rRNA from 1 species